AUGGUUGCGGCGCAGCAGGCCACGCUGCACGCGCAGGUGGACCAGCUCCAGCGCCUCGUCGUCAACCCGCUCGCCCAGGAGAUGGUCAGGAGCCCCUCCCCUUUCUCCAAUCUCUGCAUCGUCGGCUCUGCGCGCAGCUCCGCGAGGCGGAGUGCGAGGCCGUGGUGUCCGUCCUCGCGCCGUGGUGGCCGUCCUCGCGCUCGUGCCGUGGUGGCCGUCCUCGAGCUCGUGCCGUGGUGGCGCGCAAUGGGUGCCGCCGAGGAUGCCGUGCAGCAGCUCGGCCUGCUCAUGGAGCUUUGGGAUGUGGUUCACCGGACAUGUGGGCGAGGCGGAGGCGCCGGCGUGCGUGCUCUCUCCCGUCUGCAUCCUGAGCAGCUCUGCAUCCUGUUGCAGCCGGAGCUGGGCUCCAUGACGAAUCUACUUGAUGCUCAAGAAUACUUGCUCCAGGAAGGGUGCAGACCGCCGUCUACACGAACAAGCAGAGAUACAUGCAGCUCUUCCUCCUCGUUGCUGUCCUGUACCUGA
rnacentral:rRNA from 1 species